AAUCAACGCUGGCGGCGUGCCUUAGACAUGCAAGUCGAACGAUUAAACUUUCCUUCGGGAAAGAUAUAAAGUGGCGCACGGGUGAGUAACACGUAGGUAGUGUACCUUUGGGUGGGGAAUAACCAUCGGAAACGAUGGCUAAUACCGCAUAAUGCAGCGGCAUCGCAAGAUGACAGUUGUUAAAGAUUUAUCGCCUAAAGGGCAGCCUGCGGCAGAUUAGGUAGUUGGUAAGGUAANGGCUUACCAAGCCUGCGAUCUGUAACCGACCUGAGAGGGUGGUCGGUCACACUGACACUGAAUAACGGGUCAGACUCCUACGGGAGGCAGCAGUCGGGAAUUUUGGGCAAUGGGCGAAAGACCUGACCCAGCAACGCCGCGUGAAGGACGAAGUCUUUCGGGAU
rnacentral:rRNA from 1 species